GUGUCCAUUCGUUACGCUUCAUUUCGUUACCCCAAGUAAGGUCACACAGGGCUGGCUGACCCUGGCACUGAGCCUUACAAAAAUGGCGUCUGGAUACAGGGACAUAUGCCUUGUAACCCCAAUUCCUUUGCUGGUCAUAGGAUGACGAAGAGUUAAUGGCCUCUGCGGCGAGACUGCAGCUCGGGUCGGCAGGGGAUCGAACAGAGAUAAGAGUGCCCCAUUGGUGGACCUACUCUGUUCCCCAACUUUGUCUCUCUUUUUCUUUCGCUUUUUAGUUUAUCUUUUAGCAGUAAUGGGUAAUUCAAUUCCUGUCCUUUUAAAGGACAAAGAUUGGCAAAGAGUUCCAAAAUUUCCUAUGAAUGGGUUAACUCCCCUGUUAACACUGGGGAGGAUUGGGGAGGAUAGUUUGUGUCUCUCGAGAAAACGUUCAUUAUCCCUCUUUGAUAAUGUUCCAAUCUUUCUUCUUGCGACUUCUCGGACAGCUCUAAGCUGUCCCCCGAUAGUUCUAAACUGUCCCCUAUUAGGGACCCCCUUCCCCCAGUUCUUUUAUUGGAACCCCCCUUCAGUUCUCUUUGGAGAACCCCCGACGCUGUGCGCUGGUCAUGCAAAGUUUCGAUGCUACAGAGAUCCCCUCGGUGAUGGGCCCCCAAAGGAGUGAAAAAGAGAAAAAUUCAGAGCAGAAAAAGAGAGAUUUUUACUCCACAAUUAGAGGCUAUUUUUCAUUUAAGAUUAAUGAUUUAACGUAUGCAAUUUGGAAGGAUUGUUAAUGAUUUUGAUAUGAUACAAAUAUAAUUUUGUGUAUUAUAGUAACUAUUUGUCAUGUUAAUAAGGUUUACCAGAUUUUAUUGAGCACAACAAAACUCAUGGUUAGAAGUUUAUUUUGUUAAAUCUUCCUAUGCAUAAUGGUUUCAGUGAAUUUGAGAAUUUUCUAAAUGUGGCUGAUAGCCAGACUGAUACAGAGAGGGAAUAUUUUAUUUUAUAAGGACAAAAAUUGCACUGGUCAAUUUAUAGAUGUAAAAGUCAUCCAGAAAAGUUGUUAUGUUGUUGAGAAGAACUUAUUCUAGAAAUUAAAUUUGGGAUUUUUUCAAAUCAGAUUUAUUUUCAUGCAUGUGCUGUCAGGAGUAGUAACAAGAAAUUAUAUGACACACAAGAAGUUUAAGUGAUUAAUCUGUUCAUGGGAUUUAAUAAUAUUAGUACUAGGAAUUUGUUAUUUUGCAAGAGAAAAUUUCUAAACAUUGUUGUCUUUGAUUAAGGUUAUAUGAAUUGCUUUUAAAAUGUGUACAAUGUAUAGGAAGUAAUUUAAGGGUAUAUGAUAUGCAAACUACAGCCUUGAAAUCAAAAAGGGCUUGUCAUAAGGAUUAAAUACAAUUCAGGAUAGUACCUUUCCUCUACUUACAAUAAUGGUAAAGAGGAGAAGCCAGAAGAAAUAAUAGUAAUGGACAGAGAUACUAGUUGAUAUUGUGAAUUCUAGUGUAAAAUAUAUACAACAAAUUAUAAAUUGGAAUUUAACCAGGUAUGUAGCAAUAUUUUGAGCUAAAAGAAAACUAAACUGUAGUUUUUAUUCUACUUUAGACGGAAAUUUGAGAGGAAUGCACGUAAAAAUGCUUUGUACUUCAGUUUGGUUAAACACUGAAACAUUGCAAAAGGACUUAAUCAAAGUUAUUUGGGAGUUGUGGAAUUCAAACUAAAAUCCACUGAGAGUAAAUUAUUAUGAAAGAGGUUUAAGAAAUUCAAUAUUUUAAAUUGUAGUGAGCUCACUUGUUAGAGAAGGAUGGGACAAGGCUUUUAGGUAAUAAAUCUAAACUGAGCCAAGCAGCCUUGGGAUAAAACUUUCUAAGAAGCUAUUAACCCCUUCCUUGCACACAAGAAGGAGAAAGAAGUGCUUAUAAUUAUUCUACUCUGAUACUUAAGAACUGAAAUAGGGACCUCAAAGAGUCAACAACUACUGUGUGAUAUAACUUAAGAUGAGUAUAUUUUAAUUGUAGAAAUUGAGGUUUUAAGACGCUCAAACAAACAAACUUUGCCAGCCUUGUCUGACCGAGUAGCUUGUUUGAAGCUGUGGAAUUUUAAUGCAAACAUUCCAUGUCCAGAAUGAUAAGAUUAUUCAGCCAACAAUAUGUAGCGUCAGCCCUUCAUUAAGACUACAUUUUCCUGCUCUGCACAUCAUCCAUUAUUUAGAUUAUAUUUUUAUUGUGGCUGAAGAUGAAUCCCAAAUAAGCAAAUGUUAUAGUUAAUUGGAAAUUACCUUGCAAAAAUACCAUUUAGUCAUUGCUCAAGAAAAAAUUCAAAAAACAAGUCCCGUACUCUAUUCAGGGGCUCAGUUAUAUGCAACAUCUGUUAUGCCUCAAAAAUAUAAUUAAGAAAGGACUGCUUUAAUACCUUAAUGAUUAUCAGAAAUUGUUAGGUGAUAUCAAUUGGGUUAGGCAAUAUUCAUUUCUUACUACAACUGAAUUACAACUGUUAUUCAAAAUACUGGGAGUUCUGAUUUGAAUUUCCCUGGAACUUUGAUACCUGAGGCCUUUCUUGCUUUAAAGAUAAUAGAAGACAAAUUGAAUCAGGCUCCUCCACUUAACCACUAUCAGCCUCAAUUAGCCCUGGAAGUGACUAUUUUUGCAACUUUAAUGUUACCAACAGGUGCCUGAACUGAGAAACAAAAAGUCAUUGAAUGGUUAAAUCUAAAAGCAAAAUGGGAAAGGCAUAGAAUAUGUGAUCUCAGGUUUAGGAUAGUAUCUUCAUGAAAUCUGGGUACCUAUUGCUAAAGAUAUAAUACAGAAAUAUUUACAAAAUCAUGACGAAUGGUCUAUACUAUUAGUGUACCUUAUUGCUAUUACCACCUACACUCCACAAGGCUUAUUUUCUUAUUUGUCACAACAUCCUAUUGUUUUUCCUCAUAUUCUAAGAGAUCGUCCUGUAUCAGGACCUAAUGUUUUUGUUGAUGCAAAUGCUAAUUACAAGGCAGGAGUAUACAAGGAAAGUAGCUCACCUGUCAUUUUUACCCUCCCUAAAACAGAUAAUGGACCUGCUUACACUUCCAAACAAUUUUUUCUUUUUUGCCAACAAGAACAAACUAUUGUGGAGCACAGUAAUCAGAUCUUAAAAAAAAUAUUUCUUUUAAAACAAAAAGGGGGAGACAGCGCCCCACAUCGAUGAUUGGCAAUAGCUGUAUAUACUAUAAAUAAUUUGAUUUUUACUUCCAAUAAUUUAUCCAGAGCUGAAAAAUUUUUUCUCUUCAUUUUCUUAUGUACAAAAUUCAGGUACCACUCCUGUGCUCUCUGACCCAGAACAAAAAUGUGGCAUGUGGAAAGAUGAUAAUCAAACUUGGCAAGGACCACCCAAUGGUCCUGCAAGGCCGGGGUUUUGUUUGUGUCUCCACAGGUAAAGACGGAGUAUGGCUCCCUCCCCGCUGAGUUUGAGAAAUUGACCACAAAGAGAAGAACAAGGGGAGGGCGCAAGAAGCCUCGCAAGGAGACUUGACAACAUCUCCAUAAGAUACUGACUCUUCUGCUUCUAUUCCAGAAUUUAAGUACAGCUAUUGGAAUAAAGAGAUGGUUUUUUUGGGAACAACCACCUUGGGUAGAGUAUGUCAGCAUGGGACAUGCUUUCCUGGAAGUCAUCUUAUAUACAAAAACUAACUGAUAUUCCUGGCAUUUAUCAUUUUGAGAGACAAGCUAAGGACAACAAUUUGUGCCUUUCAAUUGGAACUGGAAUAGAUGAGCCACCCCCAGUGUGCCUCGCAAGAGACCAUCCUGCAUGCCUGCCCCUCAGAUCUCUGCAGGUGCAUUAUUAUGGUCAUCCUGACCUGUCAGACUCUUUCUGGAUAGGACCUUAUCGUGUAAACAAAGGGGUAAAAUAUGAAGGUUACAGCCAACUGCAAUAUCUAGGUUGGCUAGGGGAAUCUUGUGAUUGUAUUUGGGGACAAGAAAGACCUAUUUGUCUAUAUGUGAUGGGAUAUGAACAAAGAGACACUGUUAAUAUGUUUCUGCUCUUGCUGUCAUGUAGAUCUAAAAGGACAUCAUGUAUUCAUUGGAAAAAUAUGAUUUGGGUAUCUUGGCAUAACGACACAAGGUGUAUUGGAAAGAAACUGGAUUCUUAUAAAUUUCAUGAUUGUUUCAUAGGAGGAUACAGCUUGCUUUUGGGGGCGAUGCCCCAGAACUAAUUGGGUGCAUUCUGCUAAUUUCACACAGAUUUUGACUGAUUUUGGAAAGAUAGCCCUGGCAUUGGAUAAAGUAAAUAUGUCUCAUUAUGUUAAUGUUACUUAUAAUGAAAAAACCAGUAAAUAGAAGUGUUACAUUAGACACUCAAGCUAGACACUCAGGGGGAUGGUAUCACUCACCAGCAGAUGGAGCAAUGGAAAAAUUAUCUCAGUUAAUUAGCUCUAAGGAAAAGAGAUGUAUUUCUUGCAUAGUUUUAGGUAUUGUAGCCUUGAUAGCCGCCCUUACUGCUACAACUGUCAGUAGUGUUUCUAUAGCACAAAGUGUAGCUAAUGUUCGUGUCCUGGAACAUGAUGCAGAAUAUUUACACGGGCUUGCAGAGAAUGUAAGCAAAGCUUUGCAUAUACAGCAGGAUAUUAAUACAAGGGUUUUUUAUGCUUUACAACAAAUAUCUAAAUAGGCAUUGUUAUUAAUUAAUCAAGUAGAAAUUGUAGCUAAAAAGGCAAUAUCUCUGAAAACAUCCAACAAUUGAACCGUAUUAUUGAAGAAAUGGAUAGUUCCACAGUUGAGGAUCUUUAUCCUGACCAUAUUGCUGAUUCUAUAUACAACUGGAUUAAAUCAGGCCAAAGUUGGCUGUCUCCUUUAGCUCAAAUGAGUAUAACCAUAUUGACUUUCAUACUGUUUGUAGUUAUCUUACUGGUCCUUCUUCCCUGACUAUUCCGGCUCCUUGUGUCCAACAUGGGUAGGAUUGGACAAGUUCUGACCCAUCACCGAGUACUGUUGCAAAAUAAAAAGGGGGAAUUGUAGUCGAGGCAUUGCCAUAAAGGCAGAGCCAUAAUGGUUAAAGCUUCCUCUUCUCCCUGCUUGGGCUGCAUAGUCAAGGUCAUGGGUUGAACUGUGUACGACCUGCCCAGCUGCAUGCUCAAGGUUGGAAUAGUCAGCAGAGGGAGGAUUGAUAAGGUUUGUGAGAAAUUGUGAGAGACUGUGGGAAACUUGUUUUUCUGCCUUUGUUGGGAAUCUUCUUGGUUCUUCUUUGUGCCUGGCAGGUAAUGUCAUGAAUUCCUAUGAAUCUGCCCAAUUAUUGGUUCCUGCUGUUGCUGGGUGGUAAUAUCAUAUCUUCCUGUGUGUCAACCUAUAUAUGCUUUGUGUGAACCCAAUAAAGCUUUGUCACUAUGCA